AAAAAGGUAUUGCCAUGGAUAAAAGGGAAUUCAACACAAACAGCACAUCAAUGUUUCUUUUUUCUCAUAAUUCGUGGAUUUCAGAAGCACUUCUAACAAGAAAGUGGCCACUGAAAUCAAGAUGUCAUGACAAAACCCAAGAAAUAAUAGCUUGUGUUUUUAUACAAUGGACAGUACAAUUAUAAUUUUUUGUUUUCUUUUUUUCUGCCCCAUGUAGUAAUAUCAUAAAUGUUUAUAAGAAGCUGGAGAGGUGAUGAUUUCUGUAUUUCCUGGUUACCAGUAAAGAAUACUUUGAGCUAAGGGGACAGCCAGGAAUAGAGCUAUCCAGAAUGUUAGUGCUUGCUUUCUACACGUAAGGAUUCGAGGCGAAAAUGCUUUUUUCAUUAUUUAACACAUCUCAGUUUUGCCACUUAUAUUUGGUCAUUUAUGUGCGUAGUAUAGUACAGAAAAGUACUGCGCUUAGCACCAUAAAAUGCCAAGUAGAGCAGAGGGAGCGUGUUAGGCUUGCUGUUGACUGACGGGAUGUAAGGUGACACUUCCAGACCUCCCAGAGCCUCUCCUAACAGAUUUUGAGAUGAAAGGGAAUUUCCUAGAGCACAAACAAGGUGCCAGGAGCAGACUGUUUCUCCACGGCACCCUGAGUGCACGUCUGAAAGGGCUGCAAUAAACGGCUUCUCUGCCAGGAUAACCGUCGCUCCCCGCUGAGGAUGUUAUCAGCGCUGGAGUUCGAAGGACGGCGAGAUCGACGCCGCCCCCCCCCUGUUCCUUGGCAGGUGUACUGUGACCUUGUGGCCGCUGCGGUGCAGGGUCGCCGCGGCAACGCGGUGAGGCGCUCCCAGGCACGGCGUAGUUACCGGAAUCACCAUGACUCAGCAAACAGCGGCCUUGUGAGGACCUUCUGGAAACCUCUGCUGGAGCCAGAGGCUGCCAAGACAUCAGGCCAAGGAGGUGUUGCCCGGUCUGGAAUACGACUCCGAGUCACCUCAAGUAUUUGCCUUACAGGACAUUCUGUCUCCCUGACACUGCUGCAUUGACUUACAGCGAGACUGCUUACAGUUGUGCCUGAUCAUUCACCACAAGCUCAGCCUAGCCACGAUUAUGCCUAGUCGACUCCUCGGCAGCGAGGACGUGUGUCAUGUGCUACCUCCCUUGUACGUCGCUAUGGACAAAAACGUCUACAAAAUAAAAGCUAAUGUAAAUAUUAA